UUUAUGGGGUGACUGCGUACCUUUUGUAUAAUGGGUCAGCGACUUAUAUUCUGUAGCAAGGUUAACCGAAUAGGGGAGCCGAAGGGAAACCGAGUCUUAACUGGGCGUUAAGUUGCAGGGUAUAGACCCGAAACCCGGUGAUCUAGCCAUGGGCAGGUUGAAGGUUGGGUAACACUAACUGGAGGACCGAACCGACUAAUGUUGAAAAAUUAGCGGAUGACUUGUGGCUGGGGGUGAAAGGCCAAUCAAACCGGGAGAUAGCUGGUUCUCCCCGAAAGCUAUUUAGGUAGCGCCUCGUGAAUUCAUCUCCGGGGGUAGAGCACUGUUUCGGCAAGGGGGUCAUCCCGACUUACCAACCCGAUGCAAACUGCGAAUACCGGAGAAUGUUAUCACGGGAGACACACGGCGGGUGCUAACGUCCGUCGUGAAGAGGGAAACAACCCAGACCGCCAGCUAAGGUCCCAAAGUCAUGGUUAAGUGGGAAACGAUGUGGGAAGGCCCAGACAGCCAGGAUGUUGGCUUAGAAGCAGCCAUCAUUUAAAGAAAGCGUAAUAGCUCACUGGUCGAGUCGGCCUGCGCGGAAGAUGUAACGGGGCUAAACCAUGCACCGAAGCUGCGGCAGCGACGCUUAUGCGUUGUUGGGUAGGGGAGCGUUCUGUAAGCCUGUGAAGGUGUACUGUGAGGUAUGCUGGAGGUAUCAGAAGUGCGAAUGCUGACAUAAGUAACGAUAAAGCGGGUGAAAAGCCCGCUCGCCGGAAGACCAAGGGUUCCUGUCCAACGUUAAUCGGGGCAGGGUGAGUCGACCCCUAAGGCGAGGCCGAAAGGCGUAGUCGAUGGGAAACAGGUUAAUAUUCCUGUACUUGGUGUUACUGCGAAGGGGGGACGGAGAAGGCUAUGUUGGCCGGGCGACGGUUGUCCCGGUUUAAGCGUGUAGGCUGGUUUUCCAGGCAAAUCCGGAAAAUCAAGGCUGAGGCGUGAUGACGAGGCACUACGGUGCUGAAGCAACAAAUGCCCUGCUUCCAGGAAAAGCCUCUAAGCAUCAGGUAACAUCAAAUCGUACCCCAAACCGACACAGGUGGUCAGGUAGAGAAUACCAAGGCGCUUGAGAGAACUCGGGUGAAGGAACUAGGCAAAAUGGUGCCGUAACUUCGGGAGAAGGCACGCUGAUAUGUAGGUGAAGCGACUUGCUCGUGGAGCUGAAAUCAGUCGAAGAUACCAGCUGGCUGCAACUGUUUAUUAAAAACACAGCACUGUGCAAACACGAAAGUGGACGUAUACGGUGUGACGCCUGCCCGGUGCCGGAAGGUUAAUUGAUGGGGUUAGCGGUAACGCGAAGCUCUUGAUCGAAGCCCCGGUAAACGGCGGCCGUAACUAUAACGGUCCUAAGGUAGCGAAAUUCCUUGUCGGGUAAGUUCCGACCUGCACGAAUGGCGUAAUGAUGGCCAGGCUGUCUCCACCCGAGACUCAGUGAAAUUGAACUCGCUGUGAAGAUGCAGUGUACCCGCGGCAAGACGGAAAGACCCCGUGAACCUUUACUAUAGCUUGACACUGAACAUUGAGCCUUGAUGUGUAGGAUAGGUGGGAGGCUUUGAAGUGUGGACGCCAGUCUGCAUGGAGCCGACCUUGAAAUACCACCCUUUAAUGUUUGAUGUUCUAACGUUGGCCCCUGAUCGGGGUUGCGGACAGUGUCUGGUGGGUAGUUUGACUGGGGCGGUCUCCUCCUAAAGAGUAACGGAGGAGCACGAAGGUUGGCUAAUCCUGGUCGGACAUCAGGAGGUUAGUGCAAUGGCAUAAGCCAGCUUGACUGCGAGCGUGACGGCGCGAGCAGGUGCGAAAGCAGGUCAUAGUGAUCCGGUGGUUCUGAAUGGAAGGGCCAUCGCUCAACGGAUAAAAGGUACUCCGGGGAUAACAGGCUGAUACCGCCCAAGAGUUCAUAUCGACGGCGGUGUUUGGCACCUCGAUGUCGGCUCAUCACAUCCUGGGGCUGAAGUAGGUCCCAAGGGUAUGGCUGUUCGCCAUUUAAAGUGGUACGCGAGCUGGGUUUAGAACGUCGUGAGACAGUUCGGUCCCUAUCUGCCGUGGGCGCUGGAGAACUGAGGGGGGCUGCUCCUAGUACGAGAGGACCGGAGUGGACGCAUCACUGGUGUUCGGGUUGUCAUGCCAAUGGCACUGCCCGGUAGCUAAAUGCGGAAGAGAUAAGUGCUGAAAGCAUCUAAGCACGAAACUUGCCCCGAGAUGAGUUCUCCCUGAGACUUUAAGUCUCCUGAAGGAACGUUGAAGACGACGACGUUGAUAGGCCGGGUGUGUAAGCGCAGCGAUGCGUUGAGCUAACCGGUACUAAUGAACCGUGAGGCUUAACCUU
rnacentral:rRNA from 1 species